GUGAGGAAUCUUCCACAAUGGGCGAAAGCCUGAUGGAGCAACGCCGCGUGAAGGAUGAAGGUCUUCGGAUUGUAAACUUCUUUUAUGAGUGAAGAAUAUGACGGUAACUCAUGAAUAAGCACCGGCUAACUACGUGCCAGCAGCCGCGGUCAUACGUAGGGUGCAAGCAUUAUCCGGAGUGACUGGGCGUAAAGAGUUGCGUAGGCGGUUAUGUAAGCGAAUAGUGAAACCUGGUGGCUCAACCACACAGACUAUUAUUCGAACUGCAUAACUCGAGAAUGGUAGAGGUAACUGGAAUUUCUUGUGUAGGAGUGAAAUCCGUAGAUAUAAGAAGGAACACCAAUGGCGUAGGCAGACUACUGGACCAUUUCUGACGCUGAGGCACGAAAGCGUGGGGAGCGAACCGGAUUAGAUACCCCUGUAGUCC
rnacentral:rRNA from 1 species